UAUAAGUUGGUUUGGUUCUCGCCGUAGUCAGUCUGGCGUGUGCAAUUAUACCCUUUAUGUACAAUAAUACCCUAUGUUGUGCUGGUCAAGUGUGUAAACAGGUAUGAUGGCGGAAGCACAUGAAGAGGAAAACCUUUUAUUUAAAUUGGAGUAUAUGGGACGAAAAGUUUGGUGCCGAUGUUCCCGAAGAGAGCUUAACUACUCUUAUGUCAUCAAUACAGGAAAAACGAAAUUUGGUAUUAGUGAUAAUGAUGUUACUGGCUUAAAUUUAUAUGACAAGGAUGGUGUACAAGUGGAUGAAGACUUUAUUAGUAUUUUUUUUGAUAUGAACAAAGAAGAAAAAGUCUUAGUAUUAAGAGGGACUGACUCGAGAACCCACCUAACCUUAACUGAAAUUCAGUUAAGCGACAAGAGUUUUCUUACUGAUACAUUAACCAAUAAUUCGUCCACUCAGAAUUAUUCCUUUCUGAUAACCGAUGAUGAAAGCUGUGUAGAAAGUGGUUCAAAUACCAAUCAAAACACCCUUUUUGUAAGUAGCUUGCCCUUAGCUGAGCCUUUAACAGCAGUUUCCUAAAGAGUUUUUUAAAGGUAUGUACCUAUUAGGUAUAUCCGUAUUUGUUUUUUUAUGUUUAAGCAUAUUUUGAAUAACUUUUUAAGUUUGUUUAAUUUAAAGUAUUUAAACUUUGUUCCUAGUUUACGUUCCACAACCAAUAAGACUGUAAGUUAAUGUUAAUAAAGUUUUGAUUUUUUUAAGGGGAAUUUUAUUUCAAGCUGCAUAAAAUAUCCGG